rnacentral:lncRNA from 1 species
UCUUCUUCCUCUUCUCCUUUUUCUUCUUUUCUCUCCUAUAUUUUUGUUAUUGUUAUUAUUUGGAUUUAAUCAUAAUAUUGCCUGUUGACAAAAUAGAAAUUAGUUUAAUCAAGUUUAGUGACAAUUUGUUUGAUGAUCGAUACUUUAAUCCAUUUAUUGGAGUAAGUGAGUGAUCAAGUGAAGUGAAUCCAAGAUAUGACGUGCGAGUGUCCCUCUUCAAGUGUGUUCUCCUCUUAAAAAAGCUGAAAUAAUCAAACAACGACUCAAGUGACUCUCGGAUCCCGAAAACUCCUCAAAAUAUGGUUCACAUAUGACAUAUCUUUUUGAAUAGUUAAGCCCCUCAAACCAACAACAUGAGAUCCGAUUCCAACGACCAACAUUGGUUGGAAUCAUGCCGAGAGUAUUUAUUUCAAAGUAAAGGACUCGGUUUAAAACUAUCUGGAGGUGCAGAUCGUGGAUCCUUUCCUCUGAUUGGAGAAGUGUCAUCCAAAGACUCUCCCAAACCUGGAGAUGUGGUCCUUGAGAUCCAGGGGCAAAAAGUUCCAGGUUGUACAUCCUCAGAUGUGCGAUCCUGGUUGGAAACAUGUGCAGAGAAUCAAUCAGCCAUUCUGAUGAAAGUCGUUCCUAAAGGUAAGA